rnacentral:rRNA from 1 species
ACGGAAGGCAGCAGUGGGGAAUAUUGCACAAUGGGGGCAACCCUGAUGCAGCAACGCCGCGUGAGUGAUGACGGUCUUCGGAUUGUAAAGCUCUGUCUUUAGGGACGAUAAUGACGGUACCUAUGGAGGAAGCCCCGGCUAACUACGUGCCAGCAGCCGCGGUAAUACGUAGGUGGCAAGCGUUGUCCGGAUUUACUGGGCGUAAAGGGAGCGUAGGUGGAUAUUUAAGUGGGAUGUGAAAUACCCGGGCUUAACCUGGGUGCUGCACUCCAAACUGGAUAUCUAGAGUGCAGGAGAGGAAAGGAGAAUUCCUAGUGUAGCGGUGAAAUGCGUAGAGAUUAGGAAGAAUACCAGUGGCGAAGGCGCCUUUCUGGACUGUAACUGACACUGAGGCUCGAAAGCGUGGGGAGCAAACAGGAUUAGAUACCCUGGUA